rnacentral:rRNA from 1 species
UACCACGGUAAUACCAGCUCCGCGAGUGGUCGGGACGGUUAUUUGGCCUAAAGCAUCCGUAGCCGGCCCUGUCCGUCUUCCGUUAAAUCUAACGGCCCAACCGUUAGGCUGCGGAAGAUACCACAGGGCUAGGGGCGGGGAGAGGUGGACGGUACUCCAAGGUAGGGGUAAAGUACCUCUGAUCCUUGGAAGACCACCGGUGGCGAAGGC